rnacentral:rRNA from 1 species
AGUGAACGCUGGCGGUAGGCCUAACACAUGCAAGUCGAACGGCAGCACAGUAAGAGCUUGCUCUUACGGGUGGCGAGUGGCGGACGGGUGAGGAAUACAUCGGAAUCUACUUUUUCGUGGGGGAUAACGUAGGGAAACUUACGCUAAUACCGCAUACGACCUACGGGUGAAAGCAGGGGAUCUUCGGACCUUGCGCGAUUGAAUGAGCCGAUGUCGGAUUAGCUAGUUGGCGGGGUAAAGGCCCACCAAGGCGACGAUCCGUAGCUGGUCUGAGAGGAUGGUCAGGCCAACUGGAACUUAGACAAGGUUCAGACUCCUACGGGAGGGAGCCGUGGGGAAUAUUGGACAAUUGGCGGAAGCCUGAUCCCGCCAUACCGGGUGGGUUAAGAAGGCCUUCGGGUUUUAAAGGCCUUUUGUUGGGAAAGAAAAGCAGCAGGUUAAUACCCCGCUGUUUUGACGGUACCCAAAGAAUAAGCACCGGCUAACUUCGUG